AAGGUAGCAUAAUCAUUUGCCUCCUAAUUAGAGGCUAGAAUGAAUGGACACACGAAAUCUUAGCUGUCUCAUAAGUUUUAUUAAAAUUUUCUCUCUAAGUGAAGAAUCUUAGAUUAAUUUGAAAGACAAGAAGACCCUAAUGAGCUUUAAUUUUAUUCUAUUAUUUACUAAAGAUUUUAAUCAUUUAUUUAAUAUAAUAAAAUUUUUGUUGGGGCGACAAAAGAAACUCAAUGACUUCUUUACAUAAAUAACGAGUUAUCACUCUAUAAAUUUGACCUAAUUAUAAUUAAUCAAUAGCAAUAGCUACCAUAGGGAUAACAGACUAAUUUUUCUCCAGAGCUCAAAUUUACAGAAAAGAUUGGCACCUCGAUGUUGGCUUAGAGGCCCCUUAUGAUGCAGCAGUCAUAAAAGGUGGGUUUGUUCAACCCUUAAAACUCUACGUGAUCUG
rnacentral:rRNA from 1 species